CGUCUUGCAUUGGAUUAUCUGAUUGAUUAUGUGAACUUAUCUGUUGAUCAGCUGCUUCAAUCAGUCUGGCGAUUCCAUGUCCUUGUCUCAAUUUUUUCUUUUUUUGGUCGAACCUUGUCUCGAUUAACAUGACUGUAUUAGAUGCGAUAAGAUUCUCUUUGGGUCGCUUCAGGCCACUCAGCUUCGAUGAACAGGGAGAAGCAUAAACAAGAGGGCGAACGAAUGAUAAAGUAAAGAGGAGUCUGUACAUAGUAUAGCUCCAAAUUUUGGUGUCGGAUGUAUUAGACAAUCAAACGUACAACAUGACAUUAUAGCAUGCAUCUAUGCAGCAACACAAGUCUUCAAUUACAACUUUUUUUACCAGGUUCAAUUACAUUUACAACUGACAGUUCCGUUUUUUUUUCCCUUUAACUCACUCUUUUUCUUGAAUGGACCUUUAAUUCUUUUGCCUUGCGUUGUUACAAAUCCAACCGCCAAAGACAGUAAAGGAAGGCUAGAUUAGUUCUGCUGCGAUGCAGAUUGCGAGUAGCAGCGCUAUGGGACAGAAUUAAGACAUACUACAACAGUAGCCUAAGGAUAAGCCAUAUCUUUCACUUCUUCACCUUCAAGGAAGGCCUUGUUGACGCGCUUCGGUCUCUUGCUGCUGC